GCGGCGGCGGGGCCGGCGGCUCCACAGUUGCCAGUGAUGAUGGAGCAGUGUCUCACCGAUGGAGGAGUCGUGGGAUGGCUCGUAAACGUGCGGGCGCCAGGGACGCUUUGGAGGGACUAGGAAGAUGAAAUCAAAAGGAAAAAAG